rnacentral:rRNA from 1 species
GAUGAACGCUGGCGGCGUGCCUAGCACAUGCAAGUCGAGCGAUCUUCUUCGGAAGAGAGCGGCGGACGGGUGAGUAACGCGUGGGUAACCUGCCCUGUACACACGGAUAACAUACCGAAAGGUAUGCUAAUACGAGAUAAUAUGCUUUUGUCGCAUGGUAGAAGUAUCAAAGCUUUUGCGGUACAGGAUGGACCCGCGUCUGAUUAGCUAGUUGGUAAGGUAACGGCUUACCAAGGCUACGACCAGUAGCCGACCUGAGAGGGUGAUCGGCCACAUUGGAACUGGGACACGGUCCAAACUCCUACGGGAGGCAGCAGUGGGGAAUAUUGCACAAUGGGCGAAAGCCUGAUGCAGCAACGCCGCGUGAGCGAUGAAGGCCAUCGGGUCGUAAAGCUCUGUCCUCAAGGAAGAUAAUGACGGUACUUGAGGAGGAAGCCCCGGCUAACUACGUGCCAGCCGCCGCCGUAA